rnacentral:rRNA from 1 species
UGCGGCUACGGGGCGCAGUAGGGAAUAUUGCACAAUGGGGGAAACCCUGAUGCAGCAACGCCGCGUGAGUGAUGACGGCCUUCGGGUUGUAAAGCUCUGUCUUCAGGGACGAUAAUGACGGUACCUGAGGAGGAAGCCACGGCUAACCACGUGCCAGCAGCCGCGGUAAUACGUAGGUGGCGAGCGUUGUCCGGAUUUACUGGGCGUAAAGGGAGCGUAGGCGGACUUUUAAGUGAGAUGUGAAAUACUCGGGCUCAACUUGAGUGCUGCAUUUCAAACUGGAAGUCUAGAGUGCAGGAGAGGGG